CCUACGGGGGGCAGCAGUGGGGAAUAUUGGACAAUGGGGGCAACCCUGAUCCAGCCAUGCCGCGUGUGUGAAGAAGGCCCUCGGGUUGUAAAGCACUUUCAGUGAGGAAGAACGCCUGGUGGUUAAUACCCAUCAGGAAAGACAUCACUCACAGAAGAAGCACAGGCUAACUCCGUGCCAGCAGCCGCGGUAAUACGGAGGGUGCGAGCGUUAAUCGGAAUUACUGGGCGUAAAGCGCGCGUAGGUGGCUUGAUAAGCCGGUUGUGAAAGCCCCGGGCUCAACCUGGGAACGGCAUCCGGAACUGUCAAGCUAGAGUGCAGGAGAGGAAGGUAGAAUUCCCGGUGUAGCGGUGAAAUGCGUAGAGGUCGGGAGGAAUACCAGUGGCGAAGGCGGCCUUCUGGACUGACACUGACACUGAGGUGCGAAAGCGUGGGUAGCAAACAGGAUUAGAUACCCUUGUAGUC
rnacentral:rRNA from 1 species